rnacentral:rRNA from 1 species
GACAGAGGGUGCAAACGUUGUUCGGAAUUACUGGGCGUAAAGCGCGUGUAGGCGGCUAUGCAAGUCGGAUGUGGAAGCCCUCGGCUCAACCGGGGAAGUGCAUUCGAAACUGGCGGACUUGAGUACCGGAGAGGGUCGCGGAAUUCCCGGUGUAGAGGUGAAAUUCGUAGAUAUCGGGAGGAACACCAGUGGCGAAGGCGGCGACCUGGACGGAUACUGACGCUGAGGUGCGAAAGCGUGGGGAGCAAACAGG